rnacentral:rRNA from 1 species
UACGGAGGGGACUAGCGUUGUUCGGAAUUACUGGGCGUAAAGCGCACGUAGGCGGAUUUGUAAGUCAGGGGUGAAAUCCCGAGGCUCAACCUCGGAACUGCCUUUGAUACUGCAAAUCUCGAGUCCGGAAGAGGCGAGUGGAAUUCCCGGUGUAGCGGUGAAAUGCGCAGAUAUCGGGAGGAACACCAAUGGCGAAGGCAGCUCGCUGGGACGGUACUGACGCUGAGACGCGAAAGCGUGGGGAGCAAACAGG